rnacentral:lncRNA from 1 species
UUGAUGAUGGGUACAUCUAUAUAUAGAGUUACAAAAGACACGAAGUGAAAAGGUGUCUGUUCGAGAAGGCACCAGGAACCGACGUCAGGAACCGACGUCGGUUUCCAUAUGGAAACUGCCAUCUAUUCCUUAAGCAUGGAUUAAUAGGAUUAGUUAAAUCCUAACACUCCCCCUAAUCUAUGCUUGUUAGUGUAAGCAUCAUCAUCUUGAAAAGC